GACGAACGCUGGCGGCGUGCUUAACACAUGCAAGUCGAACGGAAAGGCCCUGCUUUUGUGGGGUGCUCGAGUGGCGAACGGGUGAGUAACACGUGAGUAACCUGCCCCUGACUUUGGGAUAACUUCAGGAAACUGGGGCUCAUACCGGAUAGGAGCUCCUGCUGCAUGGUGGGGGUUGGAAAGUUUCGGCGGUUGGGGAUGGACUCGCGGCUUAUCAGCUUGUUGGUGGGGUAGUGGCUUACCAAGGCUUUGACGGGUAGCCGGCCUGGGAGGGUGACCGGCCACAUUGGGACUGAGAUACGGCCCAGACUCCUACGGGAGGCAGCAGUGGAGAAUAUUGCACAAUGGGCGGGAGCCUGAUGCAGCAACGCCGCGUGCGGGAUACCGGCCUUCGGGUUGUGAACCGCUUUCGCCUGUGACGAAGCGUGAGUGACGGUAAUGGGUAAAGAAGCACCGGCUAACUACGUG
rnacentral:rRNA from 1 species